rnacentral:rRNA from 1 species
AUACGAAGGGUGCAAGCGUUACUCGGAAUUACUGGGCGUAAAGCGUGCGUAGGCGGUUUGUUAAGUCUGACGUGAAAUCCCCGGGCUCAACCUGGGACGUGCGUUGGAAACUGGCGAUCUAGAGUACGGUAGAGGGUGGUCCCGGAAUUCCCGGUGUAGCAGUGAAAUGCGUAGAGAUCGGGAGGAACACUCGUGGCGAAGGCGGCCACCUGGACCAGUACUGACGCUGAGGCACGAAAGCGUGGGGAGC